GUGGUGGCACAAAAUCGGAGGCCCCGACUGUUUACUUAAAACAUAAGAAUCUGCAAUGAUUAAUCUCGUGGUAUAGGUUCUGAAAUUUGCCCAAUGCCAUUAAUAUAAGUGCGGUUAUGAAANGUGACUAAUCGAAUGUCUGGUUAAUAGCGGUCUUAACUAUGAGGAUCCAAAGGUAGCAAAAUAAGUUGGCCAUUAAAUGUGGUCUUGUAUCAAUAAUGUAACGAUGGCCUCACUGUCUCUACAAGUCGCUCAGUGAAAUUGAAUUGUGAGUGCAGAUGCUCACUACCUCC
rnacentral:rRNA from 1 species